AGUGAACGCUGGCGGCAGGCCUAAUACAUGCAAGUCGAACGGCAGCACAGUGGAGCUUGCUCCAUGGGUGGCGAGUGGCGGACGGGUGAGGAAUACAUGGGAAUCUGCCCAGUCGUGGGGGAUAACGUAUGGAAACGUACGCUAAUACCGCAUGCGCCCUUCGGGGGAAAGUCGGGGACCGCAAGGCCUGACGCGAUUGGAUGAGCCCAUGUUCGAUUAGCUAGUUGGCGGGGUAACGGCCCACCAAGGCGACGAUCGAUAGCUGGUCUGAGAGGAUGAUCAGCCACACUGGAACUGAGACACGGUCCAGACUCCUACGGGAGGCAGCAGUAGGGAAUAUUGGACAAUGGGCGCAAGCCUGAUCCAGCCAUGCCGCGUGAGUGAAGAAGGCCCUCGGGUUGUAAAGCUCUUUGUUGGGAGAAAAGCAGUUGGUUAAUACCCGAUUGUUCUGACGGUACCCAAAGAAUAAGCACCGGCUAACUUCGUGCCAGCAGCCG
rnacentral:rRNA from 1 species